rnacentral:sRNA from 1 species
AUGGCUGUCGUCAGCUCGUGUCGUGAGAUGUUGGGUUAAGUCCCGCAACGAGCGCAACCCUCGUUCUAUGUUGCCAGCGGGUUAUGCCGGGGACUCAUAGGAGACUGCCGGGGUCAACUCGGAGGAAGGUGGGGAUGACGUCAAGUCAUCAUGGCCCUUACGUCUAGGGCUACACACGUGCUACAAUGGACCGUACAAAGGGUUGCGAAGCCGCGAGGUGGUGCCAAUCCCAGAAAGCGGUCCUCAGUUCGGAUUGUAGUCUGCAACUCGACUACAUGAAGCCGGAAUUGCUAGUAAUCGUGGAUCAGCAUCGCCACGGUGAAUACGUUCCCGGGCCUUGUACACACCGCCCGUCACGCCAUGGAAGCUGCGAGCGCCCGAAGUCGGUGUCGGAACCUGAGCAAUCAGGGCCAAGCCGCCGAAGGCGAGCGCAGUGACUGGGGCGAAGUCGUAACAAGGUAGCCGUAGGGGAACCUGCGGCUGGAUCACCUCCUUUCUGGAGCGAUGAGUAGAGACAGGUCCUGGGCUGGCAACAGCUCAGGCGAUCCCCUCGAAAAUCCUCAAGAAUUGUCGCUCGACUCGUACAAUCCCUCUCUUCGAUCUCGAUUGCUCAACGGCACGGCGCAUAGGCCCAUCAGGGGUAACUCUGAUGGGCCUCUGUCGCCACACGCUGUUUGACAACGGAAGUUGGUGUAGAUCGUGGGAAGCGAAUCAUCACAAUGACGACAAUUUCGUUUUUUGUUGUUAGUUCUGAUAGAAACGCGCGUGCUCUGCUUGCUACGAACGAUGUAGUCAAGCGAGCGAAGGCAUGUGGAGGAUGCCUGGGCACACGGAGGCGAGGAAGGCCGCGGUAAGCUGCGAUAAGCCAGGGGGAGCGGCACACACGCACUGAUCCCUGGAUGGCCGAAUGGGGAAACCCGG